GGAGAGGUGGCAGAGUGGUCGAUUGCGGCGGUCUUGAAAACCGUUAUACCGCGAGGUACCCGGGGUUCGAAUCCCUGUCUCUCCG
rnacentral:tRNA from 1 species